rnacentral:tRNA from 1 species
GGAAGGGUGCUCGAGUGGCUGAAGAGGCACGCUUGGAAAGCGUGUAAAUGGAGCAAUCCAUUUCGAGGGUUCGAAUCCCUCUCCUUCCGCCA